rnacentral:rRNA from 1 species
AACUGUGGUGCUAGAGGACAGGAGAGGAGGGCGGAAUUCACGGUGUAGCGGUGAAAUGCGUUGAUAUCGUGAAGAACGCCGGUGGCGAAGGCGGCCCUCUGGACUGUAUCUGACGCUGAGGCACGAAAGCUAGGGGAGCAAACAGGAUUAGAUACCCUGGUAGUCCUAGCCGUAAACGGUGUGCACUUGGUGUGGGAGGAAUUAUCCCCUUCCGUGCCGUAGCUAACGCGUUAAGUGCACCGCCUGGGGAGUACGGUCGCAAGACUAAAACUCAAAGAAAUUGACGGGGGCCCGCACAAGCGGUGGAGCAUGUGGCCUAAUUCGAUGCAACGCGAAGAACCUUACCUGGGCUUGACAUGUGACUGGAUGCCGGUUGAAAGAUCGGAGGCCUUCGAGGCUGUCACACAGGUGCUGCAUGGCUGUCGUCAGCUCGUGCCGUGAGGUGUUGGGUUAGGUCCCGCAACGAGCGCAACCCCUGUGAUUAGUUGCUAUCCGCAAGGAAGCACUCUAAUCAGACUGCCUGUGAUAAGCAGGAGGAAGGUGGGGAUGACGUCAAGUCAGUAUGGUCCUUAUGUCCAGGGCUGCACACGUGCUACAAUGAUCAGUACAGAAGGAAGCAAGACCGCGAGGUGGAGCCAAUCCCCAAAACUGAUCUCAGUUCAGAUUGGAGUCUGAAACUCGACUCCAUGAAGCUGGAAUCGCUAGUAAUGGCGCAUCAGCUACGGCGCCGUGAAUACGUUCCCGGGCCUUGUACACACCGCCCGUCACAUCACGAAAGCCGAUUGCACCCGAAGUGGCUGAUUCAACCCGCAAGGGAGAUAGUCCCUAAGU